CCUACGGGAGGCAGCAGUGAGGAAUAUUGGUCAAUGGGAGAGAGCCUGAACCAGCCAAGCCGCGUGAGGGAAGACGGCCCUAUGGGUUGUAAACCUCUUUUGUCGGAGAACAAAACCCGGGACGUGUCCCGGACUGCGUGUAUCCGAAGAAAAAGCAUCGGCUAACUCCGUGCCAGCAGCCGCGGUAAUACGGAGGAUGCGAGCGUUAUACGGGUUUAUUGGGUUUAAGGGGUGCGUAGGCGGUCCGUUAAGUCAGCGGUAAAAUUUCGGGGCUCAACCCCGUCGAGCCGUUGAAACUGGCAGACUUGAGUUGGCGAGAAGUACGCGGAAUGCGCGGUGUAGCGGUGAAAUGCAUAGAUAUCGCGAAGAACUCCGAUUGCGAAGGCAGCGUACCGGCGCCAGACUGACGCUGAGGCACGAAAGCGUGGGGAUCGAACAGGAUUAGAUACCCCGGUAGUC
rnacentral:rRNA from 1 species